rnacentral:rRNA from 1 species
GACGAACGCUGGCGGCGUGCUUAACACAUGCAAGUCGAACGGAAAGGCCCUGCUUUUGUUUGUUGCUCGUGUGCCGAACGCGUGAGUAACACGUGAGUAUCCUCCCCUUGACUUUGUGAUAACUUCACGAAACUCCGGCUCAUACCGCAUAUGAUCUCCUGCUCCAUGUUGUUCGUUGGAAAGUUUCGGCGGUUGUGGAUGGACUCGCGGCUUAUCCGCUUGUUUGUGGGGUAGUGGCUUACCAAGGCUUUGACGGGUAGCCGGCCUGAGAGGGUGACCGGCGACAUUGGGACUGAGAGACGGACCAGAAGGCUACGGGAGGCAGCAGGGGGGAGUAUUGCACAAUGGGCGGAAGCCUGAUGCAGCAACGCCGCGUGCGGGAUGACGGCCUUCGGGUUGUAAACCGAUUUCGAAGGUGACGAAGAGUGAGUGACGGUAAUGGGUAAAGAAGCACCGGCUAACUACGUG